UUUUGGCCAGAGCUUUAUCUUAAAACAAAUUUAAGGGUGGCAGUUUACUGAAAUCAAAGACAGGCUAAACAUGUUCCGCUUCGAGGUAUAAAUUAGAAACUCAAGACCAUAAUUCAUCUUGAUAAGAGAGUUAAGUACUCGCGAAUUAAAAGAGAAGAAACCGAAUUAAAUCUUAAAUUCUUCCAUCAAAACGAAUAAAACCUCCAAUUCUUUCAUCAAAACUACAGGUAGUUCCACUACUGAUCACAUUAAAGUCCAUAUGCUUGCUUAACAAAAUCUCCAAUUUCUUCAUCAAAACUACAGAUAGUUCCACUACUGAUCACAUUAAUGUCUGUAGGGCUUGCUUAGGACUUUCAUUUUAUCAUAUUCAAUCAUCUCUGACAAACGAACAUCAAAUAACAUUCUUCUGCUUUCUUCAAUAGAGGAAAAGUAAUUUACUCCACUUCAGCCAAGUAAUCACGAAUUUCAUUUGGAGUCAAUACUCUGCAUUACAUUAAAAGAAAAGAUCAGCUAAAAGAAUCUGGAUACUUUCAUCACGACAAUGAAAAGGAUUGAAUGUUUAGAGCAAAGCUAAAUUUUCACAAACUGAUUUUCCAAUGGAUUUUGGUCUCAAAUAAGGCAAAUAUAUAAUUCCCCAAGAGGCCAAGCAUGUUCAAUAGGAAUUCAAUAGGAAAAAAACUGUAUUGACAAAUAUGGCCUGUGUGAACACGGGAAUGCAUGCACGCACAAACCAUCA
rnacentral:lncRNA from 1 species